UGCGCCCGUAGCUCAUCUGGAUAGAGCUCCGGACUUCGAAUCCGGCGGUAGCAGGUUCGAAUCCUGUCGGACGCAA
rnacentral:tRNA from 1 species